rnacentral:rRNA from 1 species
UACGUAGGGUGCGAGCGUUGUCCGGAACUACUGGGCGUAAAGAGCUCGUAGGUGGUUUGUCGCGUUGUUCGUGAAAACUCACAGCUUAACUGUGGGCGUGCGGGCGAUACGGGCAGACUGGAGUACUGCAGGGGAGACUGGAAUUCCUGGUGUAGCGGUGAAAUGCGCAGAUAUCAGGAAGAACACCCGUGGCGAAAGCGGCUCUCUGGAACGGUACUGACGCUGAGACGCGAAAGCGUGGGGAGCGAACAGG